GACGAACGCUGGCGGCGUGCUUAACACAUGCAAGUCGAACGGUGAAGGGACCGGUUUUUGCUGGUUCUGGAUGAGUGGCGAACGGGUGAGUAACACGUGAGUAACCUGCCCCCUUCUUCUGGAUAACCGCAUGAAAGUGUGGCUAAUACGGGAUAUUCUGCGCCUGCUGCAUGGUGGGUGUGGGAAAGAUAUUGUUUCGGUGGGGGAUGGGCUCGCGGCCUAUCAGCUUGUUGGUGGGGUGAUGGCCUACCAAGGCGGUGACGGGUAGCCGGCCCGAGAGGGUGGACGGUCACACUGGGACUGAGACACGGCCCAGACUCCUACGGGAGGCAGCAGUGGGGAAUAUUGCACAAUGGGCGCAAGCCUGAUGCAGCGACGCCGCGUGAGGGAUGGAGGCCUUCGGGUUGUAAACCUCUUUCGCCAGUGAAGCAGGCCUGUCCCUUUUGUGGGUGGGUUGACGGUAGCUGGAGAAGAAGCGCCGGCUAACUACGUG
rnacentral:rRNA from 1 species